GGGACCGUAUCUUCGCCCUUUCCCAAGUUCAGACGAUCGAUUUGCACGUCAGAAUCGCUUCGGACUUCCACCAGAGUUUCCUCUGGCUUCAUCCUGCUCAGGAAUAGUUCACCAUCUUUCGGGUCUCACCGCGUACGCUCUUCCUCCACCCCACUGCAAGCAGUCAGGAUGGGGCCAUGCUGCGCUUGGCCUCCGAAGAGACCAGGAUCGCACAUCAGCUCCUUGCGGAGACAUUCACUUUCAUUGCGCCUUUGGGUUUUCAACGCCCAAUGACUUGCGCACACGAUAAACUCCUUGGUCCGUGUUCAGGGACAAAUACAAGGAGUUUAUCGUGUGCGCAGUCAUUGGCGUUGAAAACCAGAGGCGAAUGAAGUGAAUGCUCAGGAGAAGUGUUUGCUAUCUGCUCCUCGGGGGAAGGGGUUGGACGAGAAGUGGGGGGGACGUGGCUGAGAACUCUACUGUGACGAGGGAAACCCCGUAUUAGAAACGAGGAAAGCCUAGUUAAAGCGGGACUCAAAUGCUGCGAAGGUCUUUUAUUGUUAAGUGCUGGUGGGAAAAAAGAACCUUGAAAGGACAUUACCGGUGGGGGGUUUAGCAAGGUGCUUCCCGAGACAUCUCAAGCUUUUCCACGGCUGUUAAAGACUCUGUUAACAUCCUUUUCCUAAAUAAUGAGUCCCCGGUCGAUAAAGGCACGUCUCCAGUAGGGCCCGGUUCAGGCAAUCGUCCCUCGGUGAAACUUGGAGUGGCCGUAUCAACCCUCAUGGACAGCCCGCCCGAGGCCAUCUGCCCGAACCUAGCCUUUGAAUCAACAUAUGCAGGUCAUCGCUCUGGGAUGGGUCCAGCAUCG
rnacentral:rRNA from 1 species